AACGCACAUUGCGCCCGCCAGCACUCUGGCGGGCAUGCCUGUCCGAGCGUCAUUUCAACCCUCGGGCCCCCGCGACAGCGGGACGGCCCGGCGUUGGGGAUCAGGGCCCGCCCCUGCCCCCGAAACCCAGUGGCGGUCGCGCCGCAGCCUCCCCUGCGUAGUAGCACACCUCGCACCGGAGAGCGGCUCGGCCACGCCGUGAAACCCCCCACUUCUCAAGGUUGACCUCGGAUCAGGUAGGAAUACCCGCUGAACUUAA
rnacentral:misc_RNA from 1 species